AACCAACAGGGAUUGCCCUAGUAACGGCGAGUGAAGCGGCAACAGCUCAAAUUUGAAAUCUGGCCUCGGCCCGAGUUGUAAUUUGCAGAGGAUGCUUCUGGCGCGGUGCCUUCCGAGUUCCCUGGAACGGGACGCCACAGAGGGUGAGAGCCCCGUAUGGUCGGACACCAAGCCUGUGUGAAGCUCCUUCGACGAGUCGAGUAGUUUGGGAAUGCUGCUCUAAAUGGGAGGUAAAUCUCUUCUAAAGCUAAAUACCGGCCAGAGACCGAUAGCGCACAAGUAGAGUGAUCGAAAGAUGAAAAGCACCUUGAAAAGGGGGUUAAAUAGUACGUGAAAUUGUUGAAAGGGAAGCACUUGUGACCAGACUUGGGCCGGGCGGCUCAUCAGGGGUUCUCCCCUGUGCACUCCGCCCGGCACAGGCCAGCAUCGGUUUUCGCGGGGGGACAAGACCGCCGGGAACGUAGCACCCUCCGGGGUGUGUUAUAGCCCGGCGGACGAUACCCCCGCGGGGACCGAGGUCCGCGCUCCGCAAGGAUGCUGGCGUAAUGGUCACCAGUGACCCGUCUUGAAACACGGACCAAGGAGUCGUCCAUUAGAGCGAGCGUUUGGGUGUAAAACCCGCACGCGUAAUGAAAGUGAACGCAGGUGAGAGCUUCGGCGCAUCAUCGACCGAUCCUGAUGUUCUCGGAAGGAUUUGAGUAAGAGUUUUAACGGACGGACCCGAAAGACAGUGAACUAUGCUUGUAUAGGGUGAAGCCAGAGGAAACUCUGGUGGAGGCUCGCAGCGGUUCUGACGUGCAAAUCGAUCGUCAAAUAUGAGCAUGGGGGCGAAAGACUAAUCGAACUGUCUAGUAGCUGGUUACCGCCGAAGUUUCCCUC
rnacentral:rRNA from 1 species